CCACGUUCAAACCGUUGUUGACAUAGAGCAGGAGAAACAGACUGAAAAGGUGGUUCAGACUAACAAUAAUGGACUUUGUGGCCAUGGCAUCAUGAUCCCAGGGGAUAAUCCUUGAUGAUCUUCUCGUCCCUCUGACAAUUUUUGUUGCACAACCUUUAGGUCAUAAAUUCCAAGACCAGCGCUUUGUUCAAUGAGAAGCAACGGACUGGACGUCGAUGACCAACAGCACAAACUGGCUAUCCCACACUGCCAUCUGUGGGUCAGUGAGUGAACACCGGCUUACAAAAAACACACACAAGACUGUCCUUACAUAAGUGAUCUGUAAACCAAUGUGUGAGUGACUGCCUUACAAUAAGCAAGCUGAGAUGAUAUACGAUGUCUCACAUGGGGCAUCCCACCGGGGGAGGGAACACCAGCUCGACCCACGGCGCUGAUUUACAUGUGACCCACAUUGAUGCACCGGUUCCGUGCUUCCAACAGAUCGAGGGGGAGUGAAGGAGAUGGAAAGAGAGAGAGACACAGAGGCUGCCAUUUUAUGCAUCCUCCAACCCCUUUCCUGCCUCAAAACAAGUGCACGCACCCAAACACACACUAAUUCUGGCUCUCAGAAUCUGUUAAAGGAGGAUAAAUUCUGGCAGAGGGAAUUUAUCUGCAGCCAAGAUUUAUUUACUGGAAACAACUUUGGAUUUUCUUCCUCUAGCAGUCUGUCCCUUUCUUCUUGUUUUCACCCCUCCCUCCUGCUGUUUCUGCCUCCCACUGCGUGUGUUGUCCUGCAGGUUCUGUGCUAGCUCCGCCAGGUCGAUAGCCGCUAAUGAAAGGCGCCAUUAUGAAAGUGUCAGCUGCUUUCCCUCACAGGACCGAGCAGCUCUAAUUUGAAGUAAUGGUUAUUGGCUCGGCCACUGAUUUAUUGAGCCGGUGAUUAGUGCACUGUAUCAGCACCCGCAGAGGAGUAGGGGAAGGGAGGAGCAGAGGGUGUGAGGGAGAGAGAAAAUGCAAACGAUGGAAGGCAGGAGUAGAUGAGGAUGGAGGCAGGUGCGUGUAUGUCUGUGCGUUUGAUGUGGUUCGGGCGGUAAGGUGGGAGACUGAGCAGGGAUGCGAGAGCGUAUGCAGUGGUGUUUCUAGGAGACACAGAGACCAAAUGCUGUGUCAGUUUCCUCACUGUCCCAUUUCUUCUCCUGUGCUCUGAUUAAAAUACAACCUGGUGAAGAAAAGAAGCUAAUGUCUGCUCAAUUAAAAGGCUCCUAUAUGUAAACCAGUUUAGUUUUUAUCAACCACCAUUAACAACAAUGAGCCAAGUUGCAUUUAAUGUAAAUAAAA